AAAGAGCUUUUUGUUCAAAAACAAAAUAUACAGCAAAUACAGCUACAAACACACUUUAUUAAAUAUGAAUUAUCAAUGGAAUCCUUUGUUGAUUAGAAUGCAUAACUACAUAAUUUGACUUUUGAAUCUGUUUUUAUUGCUAGAUUUAAUAAUAUGG